rnacentral:rRNA from 1 species
CUGCUGCCUUCCGUAGGAGUCUGGUCCGUGUCUCAGUACCAGUGUGGGGGACCUUCCUCUCAGAACCCCUACGCAUCGUCGCCUUGGUGGGCCGUUACCCCGCCAACAAGCUAAUGCGACGCAUGACCAUCCGUAGCCGGAAUCGCUUCCUUUAAACCCACAGAGAUGCCUCCAUGGGUUGUUACGCGGUAUUAGACGGAAUUUCUUCCGCUUAUCCCCCUGCUACGGCAGGUUU